AAUAUUGGUCAAUGGACGGAAGUCUGAACCAGCCAUGCCGCGUGCAGGACGACUGCCCUAUGGGUUGUAAACUGCUUUUAUACGGGAACAAACCCCUAUACGUGUAUAGGGCUGAGUGUACUGUACGAAUAAGCACCGGCUAACUCCGUGCCAGCAGCCGCGGUAAUACGGAGGGUGCAAGCGUUAUCCGGAUUUAUUGGGUUUAAAGGGUCCGUAGGCGGACCCGUAAGUCAGUGGUGAAAUCUCAUAGCUUAACUAUGAAACUGCCAUUGAUACUGCGGGUCUUGAGUAAAUUUGAAGUGGCUGGAAUAAGUAGUGUAGCGGUGAAAUGCAUAGAUAUUACUUAGAACACCAAUUGCGAAGGCAGGUCACUAAGAUUUAACUGACGCUGAUGGACGAAAGCGUGGGUAGCGAACAG
rnacentral:rRNA from 1 species